GGGGAAUCUUGCGCAAUGGUCGAAAGACUGACGCAGCGACGCCGCGUGCGGGAGGAAGCCCUUCGGGGUGUAAACCGCUGUUACUCGGGACGAACUUCCCGAUUUAUCGGGAUUGACGGUACCGGGGGAGGAAGCACCGGCUAACUCUGUGCCAGCAGCCGCGGUAAUACAGAGGGUGCGAGCGUUGUCCGGAAUCACUGGGCGUAAAGGGCGCGUAGGCGGCUUUUCAAGCGUGCGGUGAAAGCUCGGGGCUUAACUCCGAGUCUGCCGUGCGAACUGGGAGGCUUGAGUCUGGUAGAGGUCGAUGGAAUUCCGGGUGUAGCGGUGGAAUGCGUAGAGAUCCGGAAGAACACCGGUGGCGAAGGCGGUCGACUGGGCCAGAACUGACGCUGAAGCGCGACAGCGUGGGGAGCAAAC
rnacentral:rRNA from 1 species